GAUGAACGCUAGCGGCAGGCUUAAUACAUGCAAGUCGAGGGGCAGCAUGAUUGUAGCAAUACAAUUGAUGGCGACCGGCAAACGGGUGCGGAACACGUACACAACCUCCCAAUAAGUGGGGAAUAGCCCAGAGAAAUUUGGAUUAAUACCCCGUAACAUAACGAUGUGGCAUCACAUUGUUAUUAUAGAUUUUUCGCUUAUUGAUGGGUGUGCGGCUGAUUAGAUAGUUGGCGGGGUAACGGCCCACCAAGUCUACGAUCAGUAGCUGAUGUGAGAGCAUGAUCAGCCACACGGGCACUGAGACACGGGCCCGACUCCUACGGGAGGAAGCAGUAAGGAAUAUUGGACAAUGGACGCAAGUCUGAUCCAGCCAUGCCGCGUGAAGGAUUAAGGUCCUCUGGAUUGUAAACUUCUUUUAUAGGGGACGAAAAAAGGCUUUUCUAAGUCGUCUGACGGUACCUUAUGAAUAAGCACCGGCUAACUCCGUGCCAGCAGCCGCCGUAACAC
rnacentral:rRNA from 1 species